rnacentral:rRNA from 1 species
CUCCGGGAAAACCCGGGGGCCGUAAUACCGGAUAANAUUUGAACGCAUGGUUCAAUAGUGAAAGACGGUUUCGGCUGUCACUUAUAGAUGGACCCGCGCCGUAUUAGCUAGUUGGUAAGGUAACGGCUUACCAAGGCGACGAUACGUAGCCGACCUGAGAGGGUGAUCGGCCACACUGGAACUGAGACACGGUCCAGACUCCUACGGGAGGCAGCAGCC